rnacentral:rRNA from 1 species
CUUAAGGGCUAGUUUUGUGGGCAAAAGCGUAAAGGGUGUGAUAGGCCGUUUUAUUAAAAAGGGUUUUAUAAUUUAAGAAGGUAAAUGGAAUUUUUUUGUAGCGGUGGAAUGUGUAAAUAGAAAAAAGAACUUUAGACGUGAAGACUAUUUAUUUUUGAGAUUAUAGUGUGAUGGCUAAAACACGAGAGUAUGGGGAGCAAACAGGAUUAGGGACCCUGGUAGUCUAUACUGUAAAUAAUGAAAAAGAUGUGAAGCAAUCCUAAAAAGUCAGAAAUUUUCCGCUUGAGUAGUACGACCGCAAGGUUAAAAUUCAAAAAACUUGGCUGUUCACUGUUUUAAUUAGAGGAGCGUGUCGUUUAAUUCGAUAGUCCGCGAGAGACCUUACCCAAACUUGAAUCCUUCAUUGACAGGUAUUGCAUG